rnacentral:ncRNA from 1 species
CUUAUGUGAGAAGACGACGGUUCCUGCAGCCGAAAGGCGAAGGGAUUAAUAGGGAACAUGGUGCGGGUGAUUUUCAUCGCCCAAUGCCGUGGCUGCCCCCGCAACUGUAAGCGGAUUGCCGCUCAUCCCCGUGACGCCUUAAAGGCGUCAUGCCACUGCAUUCUCCGGAAUGCGGGAAGGCAGAUGAACGGCGCAAAUCCGUGAGCCAGGAGACCUGCCGUCAAAAUAUGAACCAUC